AGGCUUAAAUUUUUAUAAUUUAUUAUUUAUGCUUUGUUAUGCUUUUAAGAGAUUUACGCUUAAGUGAGUUACGCUUUGUUACGCGCCUACGUGGUUCACGCUUUGUUACGCUUUAAUGCUUUACGCUUAUUAUUUAACGCCUAUGUGAGUUACGCUUUAAUGUUUUAUGCUUAUUAUCUAAUGCUUAUUUGAUGCUAACAAGAUCGAUUCCUGAGCGGAUAGCUAUCUUGCCAGGAUAUAUAUUUAUAUAUGCAACGCGACCGUGAGUCAAUGAGAGGGUUGGCCG
rnacentral:lncRNA from 1 species